UCGGACUGUGGAAAGGGACGGGAACGAAAACAUAUACAUGUAGUUCGUGCUUGUAAUGGAUUCACGUUCUCUGCUCAGAUGUUAUAACGGAUGUUAAUUAAUUCCUAAUUGAGAACCUGAUGCGAAAGUCAACGAUGGUCAAUUUAGUAAAGGCCAUUACCUGCCUACCUUUCAUUCUAACUGUAUCAGGAGUAAUUUGCGACAACCGUUGUGAUCCGGGAUUGUACGGAGAACGUUGUGACAAGCGUUGCAAUGAUAAGUGUCGCUCUCAUAUUAACGGGAAUAUCUAUUGUGAGAAACACUCUGGAACAUGCUUACUGGGUUGUGCUCCUGGAUGGUAUAAUGAAAAAUGCAUUAUCCCUUGUAGCAAGAAUUGCAUUAGUGAUGUGUGUAAUCAACAAACUGGUCAGUGCACAAACGGCUGCAAAGGAAACUACAGAGGGGCUAUGUGUGACGUGUAUGAAGUAGAUCCACCACAAGUGCCAGAAGCAACCAAUGGACGAAUCGUUUUGAUCGUCUCCGUCACUGUUGUUUCCAUCCUCUUUAUAGUCACUAUAAUCUAU